rnacentral:rRNA from 1 species
AUUGAACGCUGGCGGCAGGCCUAACACAUGCAAGUCGAGCGGAGCGGCGGACGGGUGAGGAAUGCCUAGGAAUCUGACUGGGAGUGGGGGAUAACGUCCGGAAACGGGAGCUAAUACCGCAUCCUCUCAGAUGAGGCUAGGUCGGAUUAGCUCGUUGGUGGGGUAAAGGCCUACCAAGGCGACGAUCCGUAACUGGUCUGAGAGGAAGAUGAGUCACACUGGAACGGAGACACGGUCCAGACUCCUACGGGAGGCAGCAGUGGGGAAUAUUGGACAAUGGGCGCAAGCCUGAUCCAGCCAUGCCGCGUGUGUGAAGAAGGUCUUCGGAUUGUAAAGCACUUUAAGUUGGGAGGCGUUACCAACAGAAUAAGCACCGGCUAACUUCGUGCCAGCAGCCGCGGUAAUAC